AUGAUGGAUUCCGUUCUUGGUGCAGUUGCAAGAAAAGGGAAGUCUGGUGAGAAUCCAGCGCGGCCCCGCCACUGUGAUUGCGUUGGGCUGACCGAUACGCCACUGUCCCGGCCUGCCGGGAUGGGAAGGCGGUCAGCCCGGAAAAGCAUGAGCCAGGAGACCGACCAGGAACCCUCUGCUUGC
rnacentral:ncRNA from 2 species